rnacentral:rRNA from 1 species
AAUGAACGUUGGCGGCGUGGAUUAGGCAUGCAAGUCGAACGGGCCGCAAGGCCAGUGGCGAAAGGGAGAGGAAUACGUAGAUACCUACCCUCUGGUUCAGGAUAGCCGCGGGAAACUGCGGGUAAUACUGAAUAACAUCUCCGGAUCAAAGGUGUGAUUCCGCCGGAGGACGGGUCUGCGUCCUAUCAGCUAGUUGGUGAGGUAAUGGCUCACCAAGGCUAUAACGGGUACUGGGUGUGAGAGCACGACCCAGCUCACUGGGACUGAGAUACUGCCCAGACACCUACGGGUGGCUGCAGUCGAGAAUCUUCGGCAAUGGGCGCAAGCCUGACCGAGCGACGCCGCGUGUGGGAUGAAGGCCUUCGGGUUGUAAACCACUGUCGGGGGGGAUGAAAUAUUCAAGGGUUCUCCCUUGGACUUGACAUAUCCUCGGAGGAAGGACGGGCUAAGUUCGUGCCAGCAGCCGCGGUAAAAC